rnacentral:tRNA from 2 species
ACGAAUAUGAUGGAAUUGGUAGACAUGUUAGAUUUAGGUUCUAGUGAUAAUUAAAUCAUGGGGGUUCGAGUCCCUCUAUUCGUA